ACUGGCGACAGCUAAUCAAUACAACCAGUAUGUCAAUUACUUCUGUCGCCGUGUGAUGACGAAAAUUACGCAUCAAAAGCUCGACAAACAAUAACACACUUGUGUAACUGUCCAGGCGUCUCGGUGCUGUGAGCAAAAAGGAGUCUGCUCUGUUUUCGGAUCAUCUUCAGACAAUGUUUCUUCAGGCGUGUGCCUCAGUCAGCAGACGUGUCGUGUUAAACGGUCGGGCUCUGGAGUCUGUCCUCACAGGUCAGUCUGAGGUUGGCUUCUCAUUCGUCACCCUCGCGUUGGGGUAAACAGGGUCCUGGUCCACAACCAAAGGCUGCUACCUCGACUUCCACAUUUAGGUUCGUCAAGGAGAGUUUACAGGCUACUUCAAGCCCAGCUCCGAAAUCAUGUGCUUCAUCCCGUAAAUGUAAGAAAGGCUCAGUUUACUGCCGUUUUUAUGGAGACCAAAUUAAACCAGGCCCCGAUUUAAUACCUCAGCACAUGGACCUGUGAUAUUAAGUAUUGGAAUCUAUGAUUAUAGUAGGUCGAGUAAGUGUAUAAGUAUAUUCAGUUCCCAUACACUCAGGACGCAGUAAAUGACACAAAACACAACUUUUAUGCAGUUGCUGGCUUCUCCAAAACGAUAGUGCAACUCAAUGGCUUCAAACUUCAUUUUUCAUUUCUGCUCACCCAAACUCUCCAUGGUGACAGUCACACGCAAAAUCCUCAUUUAAAUAGAGUGGUCUCACCUCUUUUGUACCUGUGCACACCAUAGAAUACAGUCUAUGGUGCACACAAUCGUAGAAGACCACUCACGACACGCCCACUAACAGCACGUGCGAUUUUUAGUUUGCACACGCAUUGUUAGGAUCUUAGUUGAUCGGGCUCUCUGUAUUCUCUCUAGAAGAAUCUUGCAGGGGUCCGACCAGUCUGGGUUCUUAUGUUCUGGAUUAAGAGUUGAUGUGGUCUAGAGGUGACAUAAAGCAGCGAAAUUUCCCUCCAUUUCAUUUGUACAAAUAGACUGAAUGUGUCGUGAACCCAAAACUGCGUUUUAGUGAAUCUGCAGACCUUUCUUCAGUAUCUGAUCUAGAUCUGACGAGUUCAGGCACAGCGGUUUUGGAUCAGGACCUUAAUUGUUUCCGUAAACCCUCCCUGUGACAGCCAAUCAAAACUGUUCAUAUGAAACCAACUUCAUUGUCGUCUUUGGACUUGUCUGACCCUCAACUACAUUUACUGUCUUUAUAUCUCCUUAAGGUGGAGUUUAUAUGUUAACGUAUAUUAGAGCAUGAUGCAGGAUUUCUCUGUGACCUUUAACUGUUACAGUCCUCACAGGUAGGACAUUGGAGGUCAUGUCAGAGCUGGAGGUCCUUGUGUCUCAGGGGAUCACACACUGUACAAUAACAAUAAACACCGUUUUUGUUCCAGUUUUUAAUCUGAAAUCCCUGUUGUCCUCUUUCAGGGUGUUCACGAUCAGUCAGCAGUGCAGUAAAGGACAAGGAGCCACAAAAGAAAGCCAAAACCCCGCAGGGUCGGUUUGACACCCCAGAGGAGAGGCAGAAAGAUGUUCUGGAGAGUGAGUACAAGUGAUCAUUGUGGAUGAAUAUCACAUCAAGGCUGUCAAAUACACUUGGUAAAAUGCCAAAAAUGUCUUGUAAACUGGGAGUGAGAGUCUGCCAGAUGAUAAAAGAUACAUAAACAAGAGAAACCCCAAAGUUACCUUUUGAAAAUUGUUACAGACCACAGGUCUUUCUCAUUUUUGCUUAUGUGCCAGUAUAUUUUUAAUUUAUACAGUAUUUCUGCUAAGAAAGUGAGGAAGGGUUGACUUCAUGUAGUGAGUCGGGAUGCAGACUGCAGCUGUGUAUGAUUUGCUGAGUUCAUUUUAUUCAGAGAAGGUCCCGAAGUCCUGUUGGUAUCAAGCUUUUGACACUUCUGACAGCAGGAGCUCUCUGGGUUCAUGCUCUCCAGUAAGAGCAAAAGUUUCUCCUUUCUCUGUAAACUCUGGCCUGUAAAGGUGUCUUGUGUGUCCACAGUAACAGUGUUUCAUCAGUGUUGUCAGGUUCAUUCAUUAUUUCAGUUUGGGUGUAUUUUUGUCUCUCUGAAGCCCGCAGAGCAAAACAGCUGAUCAGCAUGCUGCAGGGGGAGAAAUACUUCUGUGCUGUGUCCAAGAAUAGAGCAAAAACAGCAGCAAAGUAAAGAAAGGAUAGAGAUUUGUCUUUGACUUUAAUGAGCAAAAGUAUGCCAUAAAAAGACUUUUCUAACUCAAAGAAACACAUAGCACAAAGAGACUAAUUUAAAAACUAAUCAACACACUUAAAAACACAAGAAGUUCCUGGUAAAAACAGACACUGUAAAGCUGUAUGAAGAAGAUACAAUACACAAAAUAAGAAAAGUAUGCAGCGUGCAAAAACAGUGUUAAUAUGGCAGUGUGCAGUGAUGACAUGAAGUGAGCUAAAUCAGCAAAUAAAGAUUUUUUUUAUGUUUUAUGUUUUAAGGCAUUUAUACAUGUUUUAAAUGGAUGAUCUUUACUAAAGCUGCAUCUUUUUAAACUGAAUUACUCUCCUGUAAUCCUCUAGAGUUCCCUAAUGACGUGAACCCUGUCACCAAGGAGAAGGGGGGUCCCCGAGGCCCAGAGCCAACCCGCUAUGGAGACUGGGAGAGAAAGGGCCGCUGUGUUGACUUCUAGUUCAUUAUCCACUGAUAGGAAUUAUUGAAUCCAUAAAUGUUUGUGUCUCAUGCAUUAAGUCUGAGUUAAUGUCCAGAGGUGGAGGAUAAGGCUAAGAUACCACCUGUUUCUGUCUCUGUGCACAUACUUCCAGGAAACAUAGACCAAUAUAAGCAGACAUCUUUUCAGAAUGAGUAACCAGACUGAUACCACAGUUGGAGACUGUAUCCUGGUUCUUAUUGCUGUACUUGGUGUUCAAGUAGUCCUUGUCCAAAAAUAUCAUCAAUAAUCACUGAAAUAUGUGAAUCUCUGAGGCUGAUUUUGCACAUUGAAGGUGUCUGUUUGCAUGUGAGAGUGAGAUAAGAGUUAUUCCUGUAAACCUGCUGUUAUUCAACAAGUAUGAAAGUAAAGAUCAAUAAAAGGAGGAUUAUCCUGUGUUCAUGUAUUUGAG